rnacentral:rRNA from 1 species
CACGUAGGCACCAAGCGUUGUCCGGAUUUAUUGGGCGUAAAGAGCUCGUAGGCGGUUCAGUAAGUCGGGUGUGAAAACUUUGGGCUUAACCCAAAGCGUGCAUCCGAUACUGCUGUGACUUGAGUUCGGUAGGGGAGUGGGGAAUUCCUAGUGUAGCGGUGAAAUGCGCAGAUAUUAGGAGGAACACCGGUGGCGAAGGCGCCA